rnacentral:rRNA from 1 species
AUUGAACGCUGGCGGCAUGAUUUACACAUGCAAGUCGAACGGUAACAGGCCGCAAGGUGCUGACGAGUGGCGAACGGGUGAGUAAUGCAUCGGAACGUGCCCAGUCGUGGGGGAUAACUACUCGAAAGAGUAGCUAAUACCGCAUACGAUCUAUGGAUGAAAGCGGGGGACCGUAAGGCCUCGCGCGAUUGGAGCGGCCGAUGUCAGAUUAGGUAGUUGGUGGGGUAAAGGCUCACCAAGCCAACGAUCAGUAGCUGGUCUGAGAGGACGACCAGCCACACUGGGACUGAGACACGGCCCAGACUCCUACGGGAGGCAGCAGUGGGGAAUUUUGGACAAUGGGCGCAAGCCUGAUCCAGCAAUGCCGCGUGCAGGAAGAAGGCCUUCGGGUUGUAAACUGCUUUUGUACGGAACGAAACGGCUCUGGUUAAUACCCGGGGCUAAUGACGGUACCGUAAGAAUAAGCACCGGCUAACUACGUG